rnacentral:tRNA from 1 species
AACAGAGUGUAGCUUAAUUAAAGCUCCUCGCUUACACCGAGACUAUGCCUAAUAACUCCAGGUCACUCU